CUUAGAGAUGGAGAACACUGAGGUCCAUGAGAACAACCAUAAGCUGAAGAAGGAGAUUACCUUCUCUAGAAACCUGCUCAGCCAGCUCCUGAUGGAGAACACAUGUAGGAAGAAGUUGGUCCCUCUAAAGCAGGAGAGCAAGGAGGUACAUCUUGAUUGUGCACUGAACCAGAAAUAUUUGGUUGACUUCAACAAGAAAGAUAAAGACCAGCAACGGCCAGAACCAGCAUUAUCAGGUCUCAGAAAGUGCAAGAGAGCUGGAAUUGGACACACCCCAGUAAGAGAGCUUCCUGAAGAAUAAGUUGCUUUCUCAGGAGUCCCUGAUGACCAACAUCCUGAAUGAAAACAGCACCUGAGAGACAACUUGGGCGACUGCCUUUCAUUAUGUGUGCUAGAGGAGAAACAGCAAU
ensembl:lncRNA